AUAAACGUUAUACACACAUUUCAGGAAAAACGUGUCCUAGCUACAUAUAGACUCCAAUCUACCAGGAUCCAGUCCAGAUAUUCCAUGAAACUGGGAUAUACGCACACGAGAAAUUGUCAACCGAAGGAAAGUGUGGCUGUUAAUUAAUUCCAUGUACGCUAAGAAUGUACUUGUGUCCUUCAGAAGAACGCGAGGACAGAGAACACACCUACCUAGACUGAGAUGCGUGUGUACUCGGCUAUUGCACAAUACUGUAUGCUCAGCUGGGCGCAGAGAAUUUGGGCAGCCACAUGAAAACACUGGCAUGGACCUUAUUCACAGCGCCUCCAUCUUGAAAUCCAAAACGAGGCUGGGGGGUACACUCUAACCGCAAGUUCAUUGACAGAGCGCAGCAGCGGGCGUCUAUCAUCAUGGCGAUACCUUUGUGGACAUCAAAUCUUUCAUGUCUUCCCAACAUAACAGUGGACUAUGUCGAAAAAUGGGCUAAUAAGGACUGCAUGAUUCCCCGGGCUGUUUUGCUUAAAGGAUACAGCAACUGGAUUGAGGGAUAUGUGCACGACGUGGAAGGGGCGACAAUGGCGGCCCCGACGGUGGCCGCCUGCAUCCAAGCUACAAUGACGGUCCUCACCAGACUGGCAGAGAAAGGGUUCAAGGUAUCAAAAGAAAAGCUACAGCUGGUAAGGACGCAGGUCUCCUUUCUGGGCAGAGUAAUCUUGCAGAAAGGAGCGGGGCUUUCCUCAGCUCACCGCACAACCAUCCUCCACCAUCCUAAACCCACUACUGUUCAGGAAAUGCUAUCAUUCCUGGGGCUCCCCAAACUAUUCAGGGCUCACAGAGCCACUUAGAGCGCUAGUUAAGGAGCAGGGAAUGCGUAAACUUAAAGCCACUCUCAAUUGGACUUGCCCGGCCGACCAGGCCUUCAUUUUGCUGAAACAACAACUAGCCACCGCAGCUGAUCUGGCCAUACCAGACUACACAACACCUUUUUUCUAGAUUUUUCUGAAACAGGAUGAGUCAUGAACGGGGUCCUGUUUCAGAAAAAAAGGGGGAGAAGGCUCUGAGAGAGACGAGCUAGUGAGACAUCAAAAGGGGGCUUCCCUACAAGAGAAAACAAUUUGGCAACAGAGAGGAGCAACAGAGACGAGCGGGCUCUGGAGAGGGCCAGACGGUAGAGUAAUACUUCCACCAGCCAUGCGGGGAGAUAAAUUUGCAGAAGCCCACGGGUUGGGCCAUGUAGGGCCAGCACAGAUGUUGAGGAACCAAUUAUGGUAGACAUGGUACGUAACUACACUAGGACAUGCACCAUCUGCACUCACCACAAUCCAAAACCGACGAUCAAACCUGAGAUGGGGGCGUUCCCCAUGACGACGAGACCUGGACAAGAGAUAGUGAUAGACUACACGGACAUGGUAGACUAAACAGUACGGGGGUGCCGCUACAUGUUAGUGUGUGUGGACAUGUUCACAGGGUGGCCAGAAGCCUGGCCAGCACGAAGGGAGGACAGUCAGACAGUGAUCAAGUGUUUAGUGAACCAGUACAUUCCCAGACACGGCUUCCCAGAGAAAAUUAGGUCAGACAAUGGGACUCACUUUAAGAACAGUGAUUUACAGAAGGUAGAGAGCUUAUUGGGCCUAAAACAUGCUUUUGGCACUGUGUACCAUCCACAGUCCCAGGGAAAGGUAGAAAGUGGUCGGACCCAAGGUGGACGGGUCCUCAUCAGGUGGUGGAGAGAACGAGUCAUGCGGUCCGCAUGAGGGACAAAGGAGAGACCUGGUACCAUUGGAGCCAGUGUACACCAGCGCAGGAGCCAGGGAGGUCGCUAACGGACCUCAUCAAAACCGGGAAGGAGGAGCUUUCCCCAGUGUGGACUGAAGGAGGACCAGCACCAGCCGGACCGGUGCCAGGAGCGGACCCCAGGACACGGCGGGACCACGAGCGAGUGAAGGAGACAGAGGACGGCUUCAGGGGACUAGACUCUUAGGGGAAGGAACUGAAGAAUACAAUAACAAAAGGGGGUAUAGGACACCGAGUGGCUACCACUCGUACCAAGAUGAUAGGGUUACAGAGAAAGGUCUGGGGAGAUGAUAGUAGAAUGAAAUGGUAUAUGGGAAUUGGUGGAAUAAUGAUGUGUGUUGUGUGUUGUUACAGGUUUCCCAGGUUGGCAUUGGGUCUUCAUUCCCCCAGCGAAGAGGUUUGCGACCCCACCUGAGGACACCUGUUUGAGGAAAUUUGGGGGAUUGAAUUGGACUAUGUCAAGGGGUCGCAUACGAGCAUUCUGGGAUAGAUAAUCCGCUGGAGGAAUGGAUGACCUCGAUGUUCGGCCAGUGGAAAGAGGGCUUGCCAUGAGAGUGAUCUCUACAGCCAUUGAGGAGGCUCCAGGACCGCCACCAGGGAUGCUGAUGCCUCUACUGGAGCAGCAUGACCCGGGAGAACUGGAGCUUGGCGAAUAGGGGUGAUCUCUCUGGGGAGAGAUCAAAAGGGGGAAUUGUAGAUGUAUUGAUUGUAUUAGUUAGUGAACUGUUAUAAGCUGUUGUAACCAAUGAAGCAGAAUAUUAAUUGUUUGUAAUAUGAGCUGAAACUGAAGGAGCAAGUAGGAGAAUAGGAAACCCUGUUCAAGCGGUUGCCGGGGAGAGAAAGAUUUAGUAUGUCUGUUUUGUGAGAAACAGGACACAGGUUAGAGACACACACACAUAGUCGGACAGACAACACAGACACCACAAGGGGGGCAAGGGGGGUACUUGCAGUUAUCCUAUAAGGAAUAGAACUGGGAUUGGGCCAAGGACACACUUGCUUUGUAAGUUAACGCCUCUAUCUUUUUGGGCGUAGUAGAAGUAUAAAAUGAUGUUUUGACUGUUGAUCCUUAGACAUUGUGCG
ensembl:lncRNA